rnacentral:lncRNA from 1 species
GGGUUGUCUACAAAGGACUUAUACUUCCGGAUUGCAAAUCCCAAAGAAAUGUCAUCAAAUAUAUUUGUUGAUAUUAGAGCAAUCUAAAAAUUACAACUGAGCUCAGAUUAAGUAAAUAUAUACGCAUAAGCUUUUAUUGGAGUAAGUAGUGCUGUACAUGCAUAAAACACUUCCGAGGAUUGUGAUUUUUCCUAAAUGGCAUGAGUUGGAAGUUGUUUUUCAUUCAACAGCUACAGCUGUGACUCCAGCUGUCCCUCCUAGAUGUUAAGUUAUUUGUCUCAGGAAGCCUCUUAUCCAAAGGACUGACCUUUCAAAAGGUUUUGCAGUCACCUCUAUUUUGUGCUUCCUUAUGUAUGUGCUGAUGAGCUGGGGAUGGUGGCCAGGUGAUAAAUUGCUAGCAGGUGAUAAAUUGCUAGACAACCUGCUCAUUAGUUAAACGUCUGGUAAGGAAGAUCUUGGUGUGGGCUGUGAGUACUUACCCCUGCAGGAUAUAAUUUAAAAGACCCUCAACCUGCUUGCAUAAUAUCUGAGUAAUGAAGAAGAGAUCACCGAGGGUUUCUCUCUCUAAGACAAGCGAAAUUCCAAACGUAAGGAUUAUGCCCCAGGAUUUUGGAGAGAAGAGGCAAGGAGAUGGUUUUAUGAAAUCCUCCAGCAGUAUUUCACAUCCAUCAUUCCUAAAUGAUGGUGGAGAAUCUGUUGGUGGUCUGGGAUACCAUGGCCAUGCUGAUUCCUAUGAUUUAGCCCUGAAGGAAAGCCAGUGGUGUGCUGCAGAUCCCCUCCCACUCCCCAGGCUGUGCCAUGGUGCCCCAGCCUUUCCUAGCCCUGGGAUGUGCUGGGCAAAAUGCAUCCUUUGCUGCAUGGCAGGUUGCGUGGCCUCUGGCUGUGCUUCUGAGCGAUGGUUCACAAGGAGGGGUGAAGACUGGGGGGAAACAAGGCACAUGUAGAGCUAUUAUGCACCUAUAUCCAGUAACUGGUCUGAAUUUUUCACACUGGUGUGUUGUUAGGAACUGGGGUGACUAAAAUGAAUAAUAUCUUUAGUGGUCAUUAAAGUACAGCAGAAAUCUCCUAAGGGACAGAUGAAGAUCAUCUGGCCUCUGCUGCCUAAUAACCCUUUUCCUGGAGAGUGUCAAACUGAAUUUGUAGUUGUGUCUCUUUGUUUAGACAUUAGCUUUCAAUUUAUUACUUAAGGGACUCAGCCCCAAAUUGGAGAUAGGUCACUAUUUGCCCUUUUUUAAUGGUAAACUGUGCUGUGCACACAAACAUGUCAGAAACAGCUGAGGGUAAGUUGCUUUCUAGUCCUCCAGCAGCCCAUCAUUUUAUGUUGGUGUCAUUUGAUUAACAUGAGGCAUCACUGAUCACAGCAAUUAUACAAAAAUGCCACUAUUUCUUAAAAACUCAGCAGGUUGUUACUGCUGUGCUAUGGAUGUGUAUGUAGGAUGGAGAAAUCCCAGCUCUGGAGCCAUGUCUCCCAGUGCUUGGAGCAGAAGGGAUCUGGCCUCCUAGACAGACAGGCUUCCUUCACAAAAGUCUGGACAGGGUUCCUUAGGGAAUCAAGUCAAAAUCCAGCUCAGGGUUAGGCACAGGUGAAAAAAACGUGCUCUGGAGAGACAGCAAUGUUAUUUGCGAGUCCUAGUAGGCUUUCUAAGUACUUGGGAUAUCAACAGACAAUAUUAUAAACCUAUCCAGUAGUUUCUUCCCUUUACAGGAUCUGCAUUUCAUUAAUUUUUGUUAAAUGUAUAAUAUUCUAAACAUCUAAUUGAUGAUAUUCUUGGUUUAUGAUCUAUGUAGAUUAGCAUCCUCCAGUUAGUUCUUUGCAUUUUUCUCCAUCACUUGGUGAAAUGGAGCUGCACAUACGUGUUAGGAGAAAGCCAUGUAGGAAUAAAAGCAUCCAAGCAUCUAAAUGUGCUGCUGUU